rnacentral:rRNA from 1 species
GACGUAGGGGGCCAGCGUUGUUCGGAAUUACUGGGUGUAAAGGGUUCGUAGGCGGUGUGGCAAGUCGGGAUUGAAAUCUCUGGGCUCAACUCAGAGACUGCUUCCGAAACUGCUGUGCUGGAGUGUGGGAGAGGCGCGUGGAAUUGCAGGUGUAGCGGUGAAAUGCGUAGAUAUCUGCAGGAACACCCGUGGCGAAAGCGGCGCGCUGGACCACUACUGACGCUGAGGAACGAAAGCUAGGGGAGCAAACAGG